GAUGAACGCUGGCGGCGUGCUUAACACAUGCAAGUCGAGCGAGUGAGUUCUUCGGAACGAUCUAGCGGCGGACGGGUGAGUAACACGUGGGCAACCUGCCUCAUAGAGGGAAAUAGCCUCCCGAAAGGGAGAUUAAUACCGCAUAAAAUUAUCGAGUGGCAUCACAUGAUAAUCAAAGGAGCAAUCCGCUAUGAGAUGGGCCCGCGGCGCAUUAGCUAGUUGGUGAGGUAACGGCUCACCAAGGCGACGAUGCGUAGCCGACCCGAGAGGGUGAUCGGCCACAUUGGGACUGAGACACGGCCCAGACUCCUACGGGAGGCAGCAGUGGGGAAUAUUGCACAAUGGGGGAAACCCUGAUGCAGCAACGCCGCGUGAGUGAUGAAGGUCUUCGGAUUGUAAAGCUCUGUCUUUGGGGACGAUAAUGACGGUACCCAAGGAGGAAGCCACGGCUAACUACGUGCCAGCCGCCGCCGUAA
rnacentral:rRNA from 1 species